rnacentral:rRNA from 1 species
GUGCCAGCCGCCGCGGUAAUACAGAGGUCUCGAGCGUUAGUCGGAAUCACUGGGCUUAAAGCGUACGUAGGCGGAUAUGCAGGCGUCGUGUGAAAUCCCCGGGCUCAACCCGGGAACUGCACGGCGAACCGCAUGUCUUGAGAUCGGUAGGGGCGGUCGGAACGAUAGGUGGAGUGGUGAAAUGCGUUGAUAUCUAUCGGAACGCCGAAGGUGAAGACAGGCCGCUGGGCCGACUCUGACGCUGAGGUACGAAAGCGUGGGUAGCGAACGGGAUUAGAAACCCCGGUAGUCC